AAGUCGUAACAAGGUUUCCGUAGGUGAACCUGCGGAAGGAUCAUUAAAAAAUCUCAUGUCCGGGACUCCUUCGGGGGUUUUGGAUUUUGAGCCGCAAGGCUCUUUAAUCUUUGUGCAUUUGAGUCCUGGGGGUCGGGUGUAUGUGUGGGCUGUUGGCCCCAUGUCCCCCUGCUGCCAGGGUUUUUUAAAACAGUCUAGUUUGAUUUUCUGUUUGAUAUCGCAAAUAUCAUUUACAACUUUCAACAGUGGAUCUCUCGGCUCUU
rnacentral:misc_RNA from 1 species